CCUACGGGAGGCUGCAGUGAGGAAUAUUGGUCAAUGGGCUUACGCCUGAACCAGCCAAGUCGCGUGAGGGAAGACUGCCCUAUGGGUUGUAAACCUCUUUUGUCAGGGAGCAACGCCGGCUACGUGUAGCCGGACUGAGAGUACCUGAAGAAAAAGCAUCGGCUAACUCCGUCCCAGCAGCCGCGGUAAUCCGGAGGAUGCGAGCGUUAUCCGGAUUUAUUGGGUUUAAAGGGUGCGUAGGCGGAAUGCCAAGUCAGCGGUAAAAGCGCGGGGCUCAACCUCGCUCCGCCGUUGAAACUGGCGUUCUUGAGUGGGCGAGAAGUAUGCGGAAUGCGUGGUGUAGCGGUGAAAUGCAUAGAUAUCACGCAGAACUCCGAUUGCGAAGGCAGCAUACCGGCGCCCAACUGACGCUGAAGCACGAAAGCGUGGGUAUCGAACAGGAUUAGAUACCCUGGUAGUC
rnacentral:rRNA from 1 species